GUUCAGACGAGUGCUCUUUCGGUCUGUCGAAGUGCGCUUGACUACGAGCCAGUGAUCCUGCCACUUACGAGGACACUUGAUGGAUUCUAUGUAGUUGGAAAGUUCAAAGCCAGCACAGGGAUUGCUGAAGGAAAGCUGCCACCUGAGAUAGGCUGUGUGCGAACCCUGCGACUGAAUAUUCAGUACGACUCAAGUCAUUGGGCCAUUCUAAGCGAGAUAUGGAUCAAGCCAGUUAACUCCAGUCUCAAGCAAACCCACUUCUAUGAAAGUUCAGUGGGAGACAGCUUCAGCAAAAAGAAUGUUUGGUGCAAAAAACACUCCAUGAUCAGCUCCUGCCUUCAAGAGCCGUUACCUCAGGACAGUGCAAUAAUUUUCUACGACAUUCACAUGCCACGCUGAACUGCAACUAUGUGAUUCCCAAGCGUCGCCAUGACACAGUCGUGCUUGUGAAUGCUGUUCACAUUUUGAAAUGCCUUGCAACUUCAGGUGAACUGUGCGUCUUUCAAAUUGUUUUGUUUGGAAGUGCUGGAACUAUAUACAGUGCC
rnacentral:lncRNA from 1 species